rnacentral:rRNA from 1 species
AGUGAACGCUGGCGGUAGGCCUAACACAUGCAAGUCGAACGGCAGCACAGUAAGAGCUUGCUCUUACGGGUGGCGAGUGGCGGACGGGUGAGGAAUACAUCGGAAUCUACUUUUUCGUGGGGGAUAACGUAGGGAAACUUACGCUAAUACCGCAUACGACCUACGGGUUAAAGCAGGGGAUCUUCGGACCUUGCGCGAUUGCAUGAGCCGAUGUCGGAUUAGCUAGUUGGCGGGGUAAAGGCCCACCAAGGCGACGAUCCGUAGCUGGUCUGAGAGGAUGAUCAGCCACACUGGAACUGAGACACGGUCCAGACUCCUACGGGAGGCAGCAGUGGGGAAUAUUGGACAAUGGGCGCAAGCCUGAUCCAGCCAUACCGCGUGGGUGAAGAAGGCCUUCGGGUUGUAAAGCCCUUUUGUUGGGAAAGAAAAGCAGCAGGUUAAUACCCCGCUGUUCUGACGGUACCCAAAGAAUAAGCACCGGCUAACUUCGUG